rnacentral:rRNA from 1 species
AAUCCAUAGGUUAAUGAGGCGAACCGGGGGAACUGAAACAUCUAAGUACCCCGAGGAAAAGAAAUCAACCGAGAUUCCCCCAGUAGCGGCGAGCGAACGGGGAGGAGCCCAGAGCCUGAAUCAGCAUGUGUGUUAGUGGAAGCGUCUGGAAAGGCGCGCGAUACAGGGUGACAGCCCCGUACACAAAAGCGCAUGUGCUGUGAGCUCGAUGAGUAGGGCGGGACACGUGGUAUCCUGUCUGAAUAUGGGGGGACCAUCCUCCAAGGCUAAAUACUCCUGACUGACCGAUAGUGAACCAGUACCGUGAGGGAAAGGCGAAAAGAACCCCGGCGAGGGGAGUGAAAAAGAACCUGAAACCGUGUACGUACAAGCAGUGGGAGCACCCUUCGGGGUGUGACUGCGUACCUUUUGUAUAAUGGGUCAGCGACUUAUAUUCUGUAGCAAGGUUAACCGUAUAGGGGAGCCGUAGGGAAACCGAGUCUUAACCGGGCGUUAAGUUGCAGGGUAUAGACCCGAAACCCGGUGAUCUAGCCAUGGGCAGGUUGAAGGUUGGGUAACACUAACUGGAGGACCGAACCGACUAAUGUUGAAAAAUUAGCGGAUGACCUGUGGCUGGGGGUGAAAGGCCAAUCAAACCGGGAGAUAGCUGGUUCUCCCCGAAAGCUAUUUAGGUAGCGCCUCGUGAAUUCAUCUCCGGGGGUAGAGCACUGUUUCGGCUAGGGGGCCAUCCCGGCUUACCAACCCGAUGCAAACUGCGAAUACCGGAGAAUGUUAUCACGGGAGACACACGGCGGGUGCUAACGUCCGUCGUGAAGAGGGAAACAACCCAGACCGCCAGCUAAGGUCCCAAAGUCAUGGUUAAGUGGGAAACGAUGUGGGAAGGCCCAGACAGCCAGGAUGUUGGCUUAGAAGCAGCCAUCAUUUAAAGAAAGCGUAAUAGCUCACUGGUCGAGUCGGCCUGCGCGGAAGAUGUAACGGGGCUAAACCAUGCACCGAAGCUGCGGCAGCGACACUCAGGUGUUGUUGGGUAGGGGAGCGUUCUGUAAGCCUGUGAAGGUGUGUCGUGAGGCAUGCUGGAGGUAUCAGAAGUGCGAAUGCUGACAUAAGUAACGAUAAAGCGGGUGAAAAGCCCGCUCGCCGGAAGACCAAGGGUUCCUGUCCAACGUUAAUCGGGGCAGGGUGAGUCGACCCCUAAGGCGAGGCCGAAAGGCGUAGUCGAUGGGAAACGGGUUAAUAUUCCCGUACUUGGUGUUACUGCGAAGGGGGGACGGAGAAGGCUAUGUUGGCCGGGCGACGGUUGUCCCGGUUUAAGCGUGUAGGUGUGUGUUCCAGGUAAAUCCGGUUCACUUUAACACUGAGGCGUGAUGACGAGGCACUACGGUGCUGAAGCAACAAAUGCCCUGCUUCCAGGAAAAGCCUCUAAGCAUCAGGUAACAUCAAAUCGUACCCCAAACCGACACAGGUGGUCAGGUAGAGAAUACCAAGGCGCUUGAGAGAACUCGGGUGAAGGAACUAGGCAAAAUGGUGCCGUAACUUCGGGAGAAGGCACGCUGACACGUAGGUGAAGUGAUUUACUCACGGAGCUGAAGUCAGUCGAAGAUACCAGCUGGCUGCAACUGUUUAUUAAAAACACAGCACUGUGCAAACACGAAAGUGGACGUAUACGGUGUGACGCCUGCCCGGUGCCGGAAGGUUAAUUGAUGGGGUCAGCGCAAGCGAAGCUCCUGAUCGAAGCCCCGGUAAACGGCGGCCGUAACUAUAACGGUCCUAAGGUAGCGAAAUUCCUUGUCGGGUAAGUUCCGACCUGCA